rnacentral:rRNA from 1 species
AUUGAACGCUGGCGGCAUGCCUUACACAUGCAAGUCGAACGGCAGCACGGGUGCUUGCACCUGGUGGCGAGUGGCGAACGGGUGAGUAAUACAUCGGAACAUGUCCUGUAGUGGGGGAUAGCCCGGCGAAAGCCGGAUUAAUACCGCAUACGAUCUACGGAUGAAAGCGGGGGCCCUUCGGGCCUCGCGCUAUCGGGUUGGCCGAUGGCUGAUUAGCUAGUUGGUGGGGUAAAGGCCUACCAAGGCGACGAUCAGUAGCUGGUCUGAGAGGACGACCAGCCACACUGGGACUGAGACACGGCCCAGACUCCUACGGGAGGCAGCAGUGGGGAAUUUUGGACAAUGGGCGAAAGCCUGAUCCAGCAAUGCCGCGUGUGUGAAGAAGGCCUUCGGGUUGUAAAGCACUUUUGUCCGGAAAGAAAUCCUUGGCUCUAAUACAGUCGGGGGAUGACGGUACCGGAAGAAUAAGCACCGGCGAACUACGU